UUGAAUUUCAAAGGUGGUAACCCUACCUGGGAGAUACCCUGCUUAAACAGGAAACAGACCAGAAGGUGAUGGGACAGAGUGGAAAGCGGCCAGAGAAUAGUAGCAGCAACCAAGUAGAGGAAGCAGCACAUGGCUGCUUUCUAUAGAGUCCCUGGCUUGGGACUUGGAGUAGUGGGCAGGCCCAGGUCCCCCACACCGGCCACUGGAGAAGUGGCCUAAUCCCCAAGGAGGAGAUAAGACACUGCAAUAAAAGCCCAAGAAGCAGGCUGGGAAUUUAAACAGGCCCAGGGAUGGAGCUGAAGACCCUGAAAAGGGCCAACCACUUGUUGAACUUUGUUACCCCAGAAGGGGACCUAAGUUAAGGAGUAACCUGUCUGGAAAGCUGGGACACCAUAGUACUGCUGAAGGCAAAGAGUCUCCAAGGAGAAAGCCCUGGGGGCACUGUUCUGAACAGGGCAGGGACAGACUUAAAGCUAGCCCAGAAGGGGCUGAGAAAACUAAACCCAGAGACAGGGCUGCAGACCAACAAGGUCAUAGCAAUAGUCGUUGUUGGACCUUUGUUGCCCUGGCAGGGGUUCAUCCAUUUUGACCAUGUUGUCUUAGCCAGAGUCCUGAGCCACUAAAGACCUGUCUAAUGAGGGCAACAGCUGACGGGGGCGCCAGGGAGAGCAGAGAGUACAGGAUCAAACCCGGCCAACAGGAGGCACUUACAAGAGAUCCAGACUAACAUGGCUACCCCUCUGAUACCGAGGCCAGCAACUCUUGGAGGAAAAAUACAAACAUCUUCAAACCAGACCCUGGCAGACAACUCUCCUGGUACUCUCUGAGGACUCAUGUCCACGGGAACUUGCUGAAGCCAAGAACUCAGAAAGAUUCAAAAAAAGACUGGAUGUUUAUAGGGGUAUCAAGAAUAUUCAGAAUUAUUGUAAUUAAUUAAAAUUUUGGA